GGCCCGGUGGUGGAUGGUCCGCGCUUGCAUUUCAUGCCUUGAUCUUCCAAUUCUGCGGGAGUCGCUCGUUCGAAUCGAGUCCGGGCCU